CAAUAGCGUAUAUUAAAGUUGUUGCAGUUAAAAAGCUCGUAGUUGGAUUUCGGGGCAGCCUGGCUGGUCCGCCGCAAGGCGAGUACUGGUCAGCCGCCCUUCCUCUCGAAAGCCCCGACUGCUCUUUAUUGCAGUGGUCGGGUAGUUCGGGACGUUUACUUUGAAAAAAUUAGAGUGUUCAAGGCAGGCCUACGCCUGAAUACAUUAGCAUGGAAUAAUGGAAGAGGACCUCGGUCCUAUUUUGUUGGUUUCCAGGACCGAAGUAAUGAUUAAGAGGGACAGUUGGGGGCAUUCGUAUUUAACUGUCAGAGGUGAAAUUCUCGGAUUUAUGAAAGACGAACAACUGCGAAAGCAUUUGCCAAGGAUGUUUUCAUUAA
rnacentral:rRNA from 1 species